CGCUGUUAUAUCUCACAGUAUAUUCAUCUACAUCAACUCCAGGAAGAGUGAAUCCUGCCCUAGUUAAAAGAUUUCCUGCAUCACGUACCUGGGCCAAAGGUGACAACCGAGGACUGAUUCCUCCUUCACGUUCCAUUUGAGCCACAGUGCAUGCUAUUCUCAGCUCUCUGAAAGGGAAAAAAAAAACUAAAGCCUUUCACUAAACACAAAGAGCUCCAA